rnacentral:rRNA from 1 species
GAAUAUUGGACAAUGGGGGGAACCCUGAUCCAGCCAUGCCGCGUGUGUGAAGAAGGCCUUUUGGUUGUAAGGCACUUUAAGCGAGGAGGCGGCUCCUCCAGUUAAUACCUAGAGAUAGUGGACGUUACUCGCAGAAUAAGCAACGGCUAAACUCUUGCCAGCCGCCGCGGUAAUACAGAGGGUGCAAGCGUUAAUCGGAUUUACUGGGCGUAAAGCGCGCGUAGGUGGCCAAUUAAGUCAAAUGGGAAAUCCCCGAGCUUUACUUGGGAAUUGCAUUCGAUACUGGUUGGCUAGAGUAUGCGAGAGGAUGGUAGAAUUCCAGGUGUAGCGGUGAAAUGCGUAGAGAUCUGGAGGAAUACCGAUGGCGAAGGCAGCCAUCUGGCCUAAUACUGACACUGAGGUGCGAAAGCAUGGGGGGCAAAC